GAAGCCUGUUCCCUGCAAAGAGGAGAUAGAGUAAUUGUGAUUCUUCCCAAGAUCCCAGAAUGGUGGCUUGCAAAUGUAGCCUGUCUGUGAACAGGGACAGUUUUAAUUCCAGGAACCACUCAGCUGACCCAGAAAGACAUUCUCUACAGACUGCAAUCUUCAAAAGCCAAGUGCAUUAUUACCAACGAAGUUUUAGCCCCAGCAGUAGAUGCUGUUGCAUCUAAAUGUGAAAAUCUGCACUCCAAGCUAAUUGUGUCUCAGAAACCCAAAGACGGGUGGGGGAACCUCAAGGAGAUGAUGAAACGGCGCCAGUGACAGCCACACCUGUGUGAAGACAAGACACAAUGAGAUGAUGUCCAUUUACUUUACCAGUGGAACAAGUGGAUCCCCUAAAAUGACUGGACACACUCAUAGCAGUUUUAGUUUAGGAUUAUCUGUAAAUGGAAGGUUCUGGCUGGAUUUGACUCCUUCAGAUGUGAUGUGGAAUACCUCAGACACAGGCUGGGCAAAGUCAGCAUGGAGUAGUGUCUUUUCUCCAUGGAUCCAGGGAGCAUGUGUAUUUGCACAUUAUUUGCCACGUUUUGAGCC